CCUACGGGUGGCAGCAGUGAGGAAUAUUGGUCAAUGGUCGGGAGCCUGAACCAGCCAAGUAGCGUGAAGGAUGAAGGUCCUGCGUGUUGUAAACUUCUUUUGUCAGGGAAUAAAGUCUGGCACGUGUGCAUUGUUGUGUGUACUUUAAGAAUAAGGAUCGGCUAACUCCGUGCCAGCAGCCGCGGUAAUACGGAGGAUCCGAGCGUUAUCCGGAUUUAUUGGGUUUAAAGGGUGCGGAGUUGGUCUGUUAAGUCAGUUGUGAAAGUUCGGGGCUCAACCGGAAAACUGCCUUUGAUACUGGCAGUCUCGAGUAGAGUAGAGGUAGGCGGAAUUCGUGGUGUAGCGGUGAAAGGCAUAGAUAUCACGAAGAACUCCGAUUGCGAAGGCAGCUUACUAAACUGACACUGACACUGAGGCUCGAAAGCGUGGGUAUCAAACAGGAUUAGAUACCCGUGUAGUC
rnacentral:rRNA from 1 species